UUGGGACUGACAUUGUGGUGCAGUAGGUUAGGACAGUGCUUGCAAUGCUGGCAUCCUAUAUUGGCAUGCCAUUUGGAGUCCUGGCUACUCUGCUUCUGAUCCACAUUCCUGUGAGUGUGUUUGGGAAAGCAGUGGAACAUGGCCCAAGAACUUGGAUCCCUACCAGCCAUAUAGGAGACCCAGAUAGAAUGGCCUGGUCCUGACUCCUGGCCCCAUCCUGGCUGUUGCAGACACUUGGGGAGUGAGCCACAAGAACGAAGAUCCAUCUAUCUCUUUGUCAGUCUCUCCUGCCUCUCUCCUUAUUUCCCUUUCAAAUAAAUCUUUAAAAAAGAAAAAGAUUAACCUCAUUUCAUAAUCCUUGUGAUGGAAUCUUAAUUACCCAAUCUCCUUUCUAUUCAUCUCUCCCUUUAUACUACAGGGACUAUUUAUUCCCAUUCAUCCAGUACAAAUUACUUACUAGAAUUGCUGUCAUGACUUGGUGCUCAAAAACAUGAACUGCAAUCAUCAUAUGAUAUCUAUACUUAAGAAACAGAUAAAGAAGUUGCUUAAGGUGUAAUUGUAGAUACCACUACAUGUUUCAGGGGCCAAAGAAAAUGAAUACAACACCAAUGUUGGUGUCAUUUGAAGACCUGGCUGUGGACAUCACUCAGGAGCAGUGACAGUACCUGGACAGUUCUCAGAGGACCCUGUACAAAGAUACGAUGAUGGAGACCUACAAUAGCCUGUUGUUUUUGGGGUACUGCAAAAGCAAACCUGAGGUGAUCUUCAAGUUGGAACAGGGGACAGAGCCAUGGACAGUGACAAAUUCCCCUAAAUUGGAGCCUGUCAGGUCAGUCAGCACACAUGGGACAGGGAGACUGGGAUGGAAAAGAUCUCAAGGAAUGUUGACUGGGUAGAGCAUUUCUCAUUAUUUAUCCCAAGUCUCAGUCCUGAGAACAGCUGAUAUGAUGCAUCAUCUGCUUGUUGUUUUGCUCUGGGUGAAUACUUUGUCAGAACUACCAACAAUGCAAUCAAUUUAUUUUUAAAAUUUUAUUUAUUUAUUUGAGAGGUAGAGUUACAGACAGACAGAGGGAGAGAUAGAAAGGUCUUGCAUUCACUGGUUCACUCCUCAGAUGGCUGCAAUGGCCAGAGCUGAGCUGAUAUGAAACCAGGAGCCAGAAAUUUCCUCUGGGUCUCCAAGAUGGAGAGCACUUGGGCCAUCUUCCACCACUUUCCCAGGCCAUUAGCAGAGAGCCGAUUUGAAGAGGAGCACCUGGAACAUGAACUAGUACCCAUAUGGGUUGUCGAUGCUGCAGGCAGAAUUUUAGCUUACUGUGCCACAGUGCUAGCCCCAUUGCAAUCAAUUUCUGCCUGU